ACACGACUACAUUAGAUACCCGGGUAGUCCUAGGCGUAAAUGAUGCGAGUUAAGUGUGGGGGCAUCUACGAGAUGGCCCUGUGCUGUAGGGUAGCCGUUAAACUCGCUGCCUGGGGAGUACGGUCGCAAGGCUGAAACUUAAAGGAAUUGGCGGGGAGCACCACAACGGGUGGAGCCUGCGGUUUAAUUGGACUCAACGCCGGGAAGCUCACCGGAUAAGACAGCGGAAUGAUUGCCGGGCUGAAGACUCUGCAUGACUAGCUG
rnacentral:rRNA from 1 species